AUUGAACGCUGGCGGCAGGCUUAACACAUGCAAGUCGAGCGGUAACACUUCGGGUGACGAGCGGCGGACGGGUGAGUAAUACAUAGGAAUCUGCCUAGUAGUGGGGGAUAACGUAGGGAAACUUACGCUAAUACCGCAUACAUCCUACGGGGGAAAGGCAGGGGAGUCUUCGGACCUUGCGCUAUUAGAUGAGCCUAUGUCGGAUUAGCUAGUUGGUGAGGUAAAGGCUCACCAAGGCGACGAUCCGUAGCUGGUCUGAGAGGAUGAUCAGCCACACUGGGACUGAGACACGGCCCAGACUCCUACGGGAGGCAGCAGUGGGGAAUAUUGGACAAUGGGCGAGAGCCUGAUCCAGCCAUGCCGCGUGCAGGAAGACGGCCCUAUGGGUUGUAAACUGCUUUUGUACGGGAAGAAACACCCCCUCGUGAGGGGCGUUGACGGUACCGGUAAG
rnacentral:rRNA from 1 species